GAUAAACGCUGGCGGCGUGCUUUAUGCAUGCAAGUCGAACGGUCUUGAUUUAUCAAGAUAGUGGCGAACGGGUGAGUAACACGUAAGUAACCUGCCCCUAAGUGGAGAAUAACUUCGGGAAACUGAGGCUAAUACUGCAUGUGGUGACGAGGGUAAUGCUUCGUUAUUAAAGCCUUCGGGCGCUUGGGGAGGGGCUUGCGGUCGAUUAGCUAGUUGGUAAGGUAACGGCCUACCAAGGCGACGAUCGAUAGCUGGUCUGAGAGGAUGAUCAGCCACACUGGGACUGAGACACGGCCCAGACUCCUACGGGAGGCUG
rnacentral:rRNA from 1 species